rnacentral:rRNA from 1 species
AAUAGUCUAACGACUGAACCAGCAACUUGGAGGAAUGAAUAGCGAUAGCUAAUUGCAUUAUACUAUAGUGCAAUAUCGACUAUGUUGAAUAAAAUUCUGGGUAGAAUUAUGAUAAUGACAUUAUUUACCCAUGUGUCUUGACCAAAUUACGUGCCAGCAGUCGCGGUAAUACGUAGAAGACUAGUGUUAUUCAUCUUUAAUAGGUUUAAAGGGUACCUAGACGGUAAAUAAAGCCCUUGCACAACAUGACGGAACUAAUUUACUAGAGUUACUUACAAGGGGGCUAUAAAGUACUAAUGGUGUAGAGAUGAAAUUUUGUAAUACCAUUUUCCGAAAGGGAAGUUAUGGCACUGAUAAAGGCGAAAGCAUCCUCUUAUGUGAUAACUGACGUUGAGGGACGAAGGCUUUGGAUCGCGAAUAGGAUUAGAUACCCUAGUAGUCAAAGCAGACAAUCAUGAGUGUCAUAGAUUAGAUAUAUAUAUAAGUUUCUUCUAUAAAUGAAAGUGUAAGCACUCCACCUCAAGAGUAAUUUGGCAACAUUGGAACUGAAAUCAUUAGACCGUUUCUGAAACCAGUAGUGAAGUAUGUUGUUUAAUUUGAUAAUCCGCAAAACACCUUACCACAACUUGAAUAGUAAUCGUUCCUAAAAAGAAUAUUAUUACAAGCGUUGCACGGCUGUCUACAGUUAAUGUCGUGAGACUUUGGUUAGAUCCAUUAAAUUAACGCAAGCCCUUACUUUAUUUUAAUAUAAAGUUGUUCCCCACUAUAUUGGAUAUGAUAACAGGGACCAAGACAAGUCAUCAUGGCCUGAAUGUUGUGGGCUAUAGACGUGCCACAUAGACCUCUACAAAAGGAUGUGAAAUUGUGAAAUUAAGCUAAUCCCCCAAAAAUGGAUAUAACUUUAAU